rnacentral:rRNA from 1 species
CCUACGGUGUGCUGCAGUGGGGGAUAUUGCACAAUGGGGGGAACCCUGAUGCAGCGACGCCGCGUGGGUGAAGAAGCGCCUCGGCGCGUAAAGCCCUGUCAGCAGGGAAGAAAAUGACGGUACCUGAAGAAGAAGCCCCGGCUAACUACGUGCCAGCAGCCGCGGUAAUACGUAGGGGGCAAGCGUUAUCCGGAUUUACUGGGUGUAAAGGGGGCGCAGACGGGGAUGCAAGCCAGUGGUGAAAGGCCGGGGCCCAACCCCGGGACUGCCCUUGGAACUGCGUGGCUGGAGUGCAGGAGGGGCAGGCGGAAUUCGUGGUGUAGCGGUGAAAUGCGUAGAUAUCACGAAGAACUCCGAUGGCGAAGGCAGCAUACCGGCGCCCGACUGACGCUGAGGCACGAAAGCGUGGGGAUCGAACAGGAUUAGAUACCCUAGUAGUC